GCAGCCGCGGUAAUACGUAGGUGGCAAGCGUUGUCCGGAUUUACUGGGUGUAAAGGGAGCGCAGGCGGGACGGCAAGUUGGAUGUGAAAAACUGAGGCUCAACCUCAGUCCUGCAUCCAAAACUGUUGUUCUUGAGUGGAGCAGAGGUAAGCGGAAUUCCGAGUGUAGCGGUGAAAUGCGUAGAUAUUCGGAGGAACACCAGUGGCGAAGGCGGCUUACUGGACUCUAACUGACGCUGAGGCUCGAAAGCGUGGGGAGCAAACAGGAUUAGAUACCCC
rnacentral:rRNA from 1 species